CCUGAUCCCCCAUAGGAGGUCCAGCCUGCCCAGUGACUAAGUUAAACGGCCGCGGUACCCUAACCGUGCAAAGGUAGCGCAAUCACUUGUUCUUUAAAUGAGGACUAGUAUGAACGGCAUCACGAGGGUUAUGCUGUCUCCCUACUCUACUCAGUGAAACUGAUCUCCCCGUGAAGAAGCGGGGAUAAAAAUAUAAGACGAGAAGACCCCAUGGAGCUUUAAACUCAGUACCAACUGCCCCAAUAAUAACCUAUUACCCUUGCAGCCAUGGUUACUAGUUUUCGGUUGGGGUGACCACGGAGUAAAAUUUAACCUCCACGAUGAAAGGAACUAAUAUCCUAACCUAUGAGCUACAGCUCUAAGUAUCAACAAAUUGACUAAUUGACCCAAUUACUUGAUCAACGA
rnacentral:rRNA from 1 species